UGGCGUAGUGGUCACCGCGCUCGCCUUGCACGCGGUAGACCUGGGUUCGAUUCCCGG
rfam:Asian citrus Psyllid, Diaphorina citri - Florida Strain, whole genome shotgun sequence.